rnacentral:rRNA from 1 species
GACGAACGCUGGCGGCGUGCUUAACACAUGCAAGUCGAACGGUGAAGGGAUCAGCUUGCUGGUUCUGGAUGAGUGGCGAACGGGUGAGUAACACGUGAGUAACCUGCCCCCUUCUUCUGGAUAACCGCAUGAAAGUGUGGCUAAUACGGGAUAUUCUGCGCCUGCUGCAUGGUGGGUGUGGGAAAGAUAUUGUUUCGGUGGGGGAUGGGCUCGCGGCCUAUCAGCUUGUUGGUGGGGUGAUGGCCUACCAAGGCGGUGACGGGUAGCCGGCCUGAGAGGGUGGACGGUCACACUGGGACUGAGACACGGCCCAGACUCCUACGGGAGGCAGCAGUGGGGAAUAUUGCACAAUGGGCGCAAGCCUGAUGCAGCGACGCCGCGUGAGGGAUGGAGGCCUUCGGGUUGUGAACCUCUUUCGCCAGUGAAGCAGGCCUGUCCCUUGUGGGUGGGUUGACGGUAGCUGGAUAAGAAGCGCCGGCCAACUACGUG